rnacentral:misc_RNA from 1 species
AAAAACAUCAAGCACAGCUUGGUCUUGGGCGGGGUCUCCGGACCCGCCUGUAACCCGUUGGCGGCACCGUCCGGCUUUAAGCGUAGCAAGUUAAACCCUCGCUUCGGAGCCCGUACGGGACCGGCCCGGAUACAAUCUAAA